GACGAACGCUGGCGGCGUGCUUAACACAUGCAAGUCGAACGGAAAGGCCCUGCUUUUGUGGGGUGCUCGAGUGGCGAACGGGUGAGUAACACGUGAGUAACCUGCCCUUGACUUUGGGAUAACUUCAGGAAACUGGGGCUAAUACCGGAUAGGAGCUCCUGCUGCAUGGUGGGGGUUGGAAAGUUUCGGCGGUUGGGGAUGGACUCGCGGCUUAUCAGCUUGUUGGUGGGGUAGUGGCUUACCAAGGCUUUGACGGGUAGCCGGCCUGAGAGGGUGAACGGGCACAUUGGGACUGAGAUACGGGCCAGAAUCCUACGGGAGGCAGCAGUGGGGAAUAUUGCACAAUGGGCGGAAGCCUGAUGCAGCAACGCCGCGUGCGGGAUGACGGCCUUCGGGUUGUAAACCGCUUUCGCCUGUGACGAAGCGUGAGUGACGGUAAUGGGUAAAGAAGCACCGGCUAACUACGUG
rnacentral:rRNA from 1 species